AAGUCGUAACAAGGUUUCCGUAGGUGAACCUGCGGAAGGAUCAUCAAUGAACCUCUAAAUAAUCUAAACACGCUCAUGUGCACUGUUUGGGUCUGUGGUGGUGGUGGGGGGCUUUUUGCUAUCGCCUCGUGCUUUGCGCGGGUCCCCCUCCUCCCCAUUUUCCCCCCCUUUUUUGAAAACCCCUUUUUUAACCCUUUGUUAUCAAUUGACUGAAAACAUUAAAAAAAAACAAAAGACAACUUUUAACAACGGAUCUCUUGGCUCUC
rnacentral:misc_RNA from 1 species